rnacentral:rRNA from 1 species
AUUAAGUUACUUAAGGGCGUACGGUGGAUGCCUUGGCUCUCAGAGGCUAUGAAGGACGUGAUAGGCUGCGAUAAGCUGCGGGAAAUUGUCUAUAAAUAUUAUAUCCGCAGAUUUCCGAAUGGGGCAACCCAUCCAAUUUAUUGGAUUUAAGCUAACCCGCUGAACUGAAACAUCUAAGUAAGCGGAGGAAGAGAAAACAAGAGUGAUUUCCAGAGUAGUGGCGAGCGAAAUGGAAUUAGCCCAAACCUAAGCGUGUAGCAAUGCCGUUUAGGGGUUGUAGGACCAUCAAAAUAUAUGAUGUGUAGAUAGUAGAAUGGCUUGGGAAAGCCAACCAUAGAGGGUGACAGUCCCGUAUACGAAAUCAGAUCAUCGUAAGAUGGCACCUGAGUAGGGCGGAGCCGGUGAAACUCUGUCUGAAUCUGCCAGCACCAUCUGGUAAGGCUAAAUACUCCUGAGAGACCGAUAGCGAACAAGUACCGUGAGGGAAAGGUGAAAAGUAUCUCGAACAGAGAGGUGAAAAGAACCUGAAACCGUACGUUUACAAGCGGUCGAAGCCUUCGGGCGACGGCGUGCCUUUUGCAUAAUGAGCCUACGAGUUGCUCUUCCCUGGCAAGGUUAAGUACUUCUGGUACGAAGCCGUAGCGAAAGCAAGUCUGAAUAGGGCGAAAGUCAGUGGAGGCAGACGCGAACCUUGGUGAUCUACCCAUGGUCAGGUUGAAGCUGUGGUAACACAUAGUGGAGGACCGAACUAGUUCACGUUGAAAAGUGUUUAGAUGAACUGUGGGUAGGGGUGAAAGGCCAAUCAAACUGAGAGAUAGCUCGUACUCCCCGAAAUGUUUUUAGGAACAGCCUCAGGUUAAGUGUACUAGAGGUAGAGCUACCGAUUGGGUAAGGGGGCUUCACCGCCUACCGAACCCAGACGAACUCCGAAUACUAGUAUAUGUUUCCUGGGAGUGAGGGCAUGGGUGCUAAGGUCCUUGUCCGAGAGGGAAAGAACCCAGACCAUCAGCUAAGGUCCCUAAAUGUGUUCUAAGUUGAUCUAAUGUGGUUUGAUUGCAUUGACAGCUAGGAUGUUGGCUUGGAAGCAGCCAUUCAUUUAAAGAGUGCGUAACAGCUCACUAGUCGAGCGAUCAUGCAUAAAUAAUAAUCGGGCAUUAAGAAUACUACCGAAGCUAUGGAUUUAUGGUAGGGGAGCAUUCCAAUUUCAGUGAAGGCAGAUUGUAAAGUCUGUUGGAGAAUUUGGAAAAGAAAAUGUAGGCAUAAGUAACGAUUAAGCGGGUGAGAAACCCGCUCGCCGUAUGACUAAGGUUUCCUGAUCAACGCUAAUCGGAUCAGGGUUAGUCGGGUCCUAAGGUGUACCGAUUCAGGGAAGCCGAUGGAAAACAGGUUAAUAUUCCUGUACCAGUUGAAGGGGACGGAGAAUUGUAGCAGCUACGGGGUGACGGAAGUCCCCGUUGAGCUUAGCCUUCGGGCGAAGCGAAGUUGUGAAUUUUCUUCCAAGAAAAGCCUCAACAAUAGCCCGUACCGCAAACCGACACAGGUAGUCGAGGAGAAUAUCCUAAGGCGCUCGAGUGAGUCGUGGUUAAGGAACUCGGCAAAUUAACCCUGUAACUUCGGGAUAAGGGGUCCCCACUUCGGUGGGGCGCAGAGAAAUGGCCCAGGCGACUGUUUAUCAAAAACACAUGGCUUUGCAAAAUCGAAAGAUGAUGUAUAAGGCCUGACACCUGCCCGGUGCCGGAAGGUUAAGGAAGGUUGUUAGCUUCGGCGAAGCAAUUGACUGAAGCCCCGGUAAACGGCGGCCGUAACUAUAACGGUCCUAAGGUAGCGAAAUUCCUUGUCGGGUAAGUUCCGACCUGCACGAAUGGUGUAACG